rnacentral:rRNA from 1 species
AGCAGCCGCGGUAAUUCCAGCUCCAAUAGCGUAUAUUAAAGUUGUUGCAGUUAAAAAGCUCGUAGUUGAAUUUCGGAAUCAAUAUGUCGGUCGUGCUUCGGUACGUACUGGUAUCAUUGGUUUCUCCUUUCUGACGAACCAUGAUGUCAUUAAUUUGGUGUUAUGGGGAGUUAGGACUGUUACUUUGAAAAAAUUAGAGUGUUUAAAGCAGGCUUUAGCUUGAAUACAUUAGCAUGGAAUAAUGAAAUAGGACGUUCGAACCUAUUUUGUUGGUUUCUAGGAUCAACGUAAUGAUUAAUAGGGAUAGUUGGGGGCAUUAGUAUUCAAUUGUCAGAGGUGAAAUUCUUGGAUUUAUUGAAGACUAACUACUGCGAAAGCAUUUGCCAAGGAUGUUUUCAUUAAUCAAGAACGAAAGUUAGGGGAUCGAAGACGAUCAGAUACCGUCGUAGUCUUAACCAUAAACUAUGCCGACUAGGGAUCGGAUGAUGUUAAUUUUUUAAUGACUCA